GCUGGGUGAUGAAUGAUGAUCACCUGGUAAGUUUUCAUUGAGCCGUACUUAACGGCACUGAUGAGACACGUCAUCGUGUCUGGACUUCUGACAGC
rnacentral:snoRNA from 1 species